rnacentral:rRNA from 1 species
GACGAACGCUGGCGGCGUGCUUAACACAUGCAAGUCGAACGGAAAGGCCCUGCUUUUGUGGGGUGCUCGAGUGGCGAACGGGUGAGUAACACGUGAGUAACCUGCCCUUGACUUUGGGAUACUUCAGGAAACUGGGGCUAAUACCGGAUAGGAGCUCCUGCUGCAUGGUGGGGGUUGGAAAGUUUCGGCGGUUGGGGAUGGACUCGCGGCUUAUCAGCUUGUUGGUGGGGUAGUGGCUUACCAAGGCUUUGACGGGUAGCCGGCCUGAGAGGGUGACCGGCCACAUUGGGACUGAGAUACGGCCCAGACUCCUACGGGAGGCAGCAGUGGGGAAUAUUGCACAAUGGGCGGAAGCCUGAUGCAGCAACGCCGCGUGCGGGAUGACGGCCUUCGGGUUGUAAACCGCUUUCGCCUGUGACGAAGCGUGAGUGACGGUAAUGGGUAAAGAAGCACCGGCUAACUACAUG